rnacentral:lncRNA from 1 species
CCUGCUAGUCCCUACAAACAAAUGUUUUAUCGCUUAGUUCCCGCUGCUCCCCCUUCCAUUUGCUAGCUUCACGCACCGGAAGGUUUCCCUUCCUCUAGGCCGAGGAGGUGAAGCCAGGGCGGAGUCUUAUCUCACAGCAGGCUCACCUAGCUCGGCUGGCGUCCCCACCGUGGGCGCCCCGUCGCCCAGAGUUCCUCCCCCGGCCCCGCGCGGCCCCGCCUUCCCAGCGCGCCGGGUCUCCCCAGCAACGCUUCUGCCUGGGGCGCGACGGGCACGUGACCCGCGCGUCACGUGACCGGUCAGUCGGCGUCCUCUCGCUGGGUGGUGUAGCCUGCGCGCUGACCCAGCGGCCCUGCGGCGUCCGGCCUGUGUCAUGCAGGAAGCGGGCCGCGCGCGGAGCUCGGCGCCCACCUGAGCUGCUCGCGCCGAGGUGCGGCGUGGCGGGGCCCCGCGCGCCGGGGCCGCCAGGGGUGUGGCCGCUGGGAGGUCGCGACAGGUGGCUGCGUCGCGGUCGCCGCCCCAGGAGAGGCCGCGUGCAGCGGGGCGGGGUCCGGUCACCGGAUCUGCAGGCGGCCGAAGGCCUCGGGCGGUCUCAGGUGAAGUCCUGCCCAGGCUGGGCGGUGAGGACGUGCAGCGAGCAGCCCUUCCUGCCUUUGCCUCUGCCUCAGUUUCCACAUCCGCGAUGGGAGUGUGGACUCCUGCUCUCUGAGUGCCUGACGUGGCGUCUGGGGAGUCCUGCUCAAGUAGAAGCGCUGGAGGGAAAGCGUAGCUUGAAGUCAAUGGCCCAAAAUGACUCUGCUAGUGGAGCUUCACUUCCGUAAGGAGAAAGACCAGGUCAGAGGCUGGGAUGAGCAUGCCACUGCACCAGAUCUCUGCCAUCCCGUCUCAGGAUGCCACUUCUGCUAGAGUCUACAGAGGCAAGACCAAAGAUAAGGAGCGGGAGCAGGUAAUGUGAAAACAUCCUUCUUACAAUGCCUUUCUGGGAGUUCUUUCCUGGUAGCUGUGGCUAGAU